GACGAACGCUGGCGGCGUGCUUAACACAUGCAAGUCGAGCGGUAAGGCCCUUUCGGGGUACACGAGCGGCGAACGGGUGAGUAACACGUGGGUGACCUGCCCUCAGCUCUGGGAUAAGCCUGGGAAACCGGGUCUAAUACCGGAUAUGACUCCAUGACGCAUGUUGUGGGGUGGAAAGCCUUGUGCGGCUGAGGAUGGGCCCGCGGCCUAUCAGCUUGUUGGUGGGGUGAGGCCUACCAAGGCGACGACGGGUAGCCGGCCUGAGAGGCGACCGGCCACACUGGGACUGAGACACGGCCCAGACUCCUACGGGAGGCAGCAGUGGGGAAUCUUGCGCAAUGGGCGAAAGCCUGACGCAGCGACGCCGCGUGAGGGAUGACGGCCUC
rnacentral:rRNA from 1 species